GGUUGCGCAAUGAAGGUGAAGGCGAGAUUGGAGGCUCGCCGAGGCGGGAGCCGUUCCCCGGAGCGGCGCACCGUCGACCGAUCCGACGCCACGCCGUGGCGGGAUUCGAGUGAGAGCGUUGCUGUUGCGACCCGAAAGAUGGUGAACUAUGCCCGAGCAGGGCGAAGCCAGAGGAAACUCUGGUGGAAGCCCGCAGCGGUUCUGACGUGCAAAUCGAUCGUCAAACUUGGGUAUAGGGGCGAAAGACUAAUCGAACCAUCUAGUAGCUGGUUCCCUCCGAAGUUUCCCUCAGGAUAGCUGGAGCCCCGAGCGCAGUUUUAUCAGGUAAAGCGAAUGAUUAGAGGUCUUGGGGUCGAAACGACCUCAACCUAUUCUCAAACUUUAAAUGGGUAAGACGUCCGGCUUGCUCCGUUGAAGCCGGGCCACGAAUGGCGGGGCUCCCAGUGGGCCAUUUUUGGUAAGCAGAACUGGCGAUGCGGGAUGAACCGAACGCCGGGUUAAGGUGCCCGAAUCGACGCUCAUCAGAUCCCAGGAAAGGUGUGGUGAU
rnacentral:rRNA from 1 species